AGGUCAGUCCACUAGGGUGUUGUUUGGGCUGCAAGGAGUGUCAGCCACCUUUCAGGUGGUAACAAACCGUACAGUGAAAGACCACGUGUCAUGCUGCAGUCAGUUACUGCUUGCUUUGUUUGGAAGGUGGGUACUGAAGCACGGCUCAUGGAACAUUUAACAGCUGACCUCCACUCGCUGCAGAUGCCUGGCCUCAUGGCUAGCCCCGAACAGUUCACAAGAAACAAAAGCCAUAGGCAUUUUUGUAGGGUUUAUUUAAUGAACUGAUCCACCUGAGGGUUGACAGAGAAGCCCUUUUUGUCUUAGCUCGGAAUGGGAGCCCUUGGUGCCUCUAUCGCUAGAAGCAGCCACAAGACAUUGGUGGGGUUUUGUGCUUGACCCAGCUCCUUGAGCUGUCCCUCUGCCCUGGCUGUGCAAAAGAGGCUCCAAAGAGACUGAUCUGGCCAUAAAACCAUAACAAAUGCUUUAGUCCCAUAUGCAAAAGUCUCCACGUGUACCCAGCACUGUGCAACCCAGACUCCCACAGCAAUUUCUGGUGCAAAGAUCCACCCACCCUCCAGCUCAUCACCCUGUAGCCAUGGGAGACUGACUGCAGGGGUGAGCAUCCCACCACCACAGCUCCUCCAGGAGCUGGCAUCUACCAGCAAUGAUGUCUUUGUUUGCUGGCUACCUGCCCUGCAGGAUCUGCACCUCAUGCCGCGACCACCUGGGAGGAGACAGAUGCUCAAGAAGGGGAGGAGAGUUACUCUGGCUUUACACCACACCAAGCGAGGACGGACUGCAGCAUUCAGGAUGCAGACAGAGGAGCAGUCCCCCAUGGAUCGGUGAGAUUUUCAGACAGAUCAAAUGUUGAGCUUCAGCCCUGGCCAAUGCAAAGGUGAGCUGUUCUUCACAAGGCUAAUUUCUACACAAAGCAGCGGGGGCAGGAUGCACUCUCAAAGGAUGGUGAGAGCUUCAAUUCCACAUUGGAUGCUGAAAUACAUAAAGCUGGUGAAAUGUGUGCUACUCGAGGGAAAACAUCGCUGUGCACAGCGCUGGAAUAGUCUGCUGAGCCUCCACCUCCCUCGGCCAUCCCGGUGGGAUGAAGGAGAGGAGGAGGCAGCGGCAGAUAGGUGUCUCUCAGGAGUGUGUGAAGAGAACUAUAUUAGCGAUUGUGAAACGCUGAGGUACCCUAGGGACCAUAUAAGUAUCUAUGACAAGACAGAAAGAAUAAUUAGCUCGACAGCUGUGGGUACCGAUCACGAGCAUUUUUUAACAGUAUCCUGUCAUGUUUUGGUCUAUUACUACAGUCCGAUGAGGUAUGAUGCCAUUUUUCCUGCUGAUGGCUUCCCUUCCAGGAAGCAUCAAUGUGCACAUACCUUUCAGUAGGUAUCUUGAGGGCCCAUGGCACAUUCUGUCCCUCAUUUAAAACUCAAGGCACCUUUUAAAAAAUGACAAGCCAAAGAACUUGAGCCUAACAGACCGGUGGGAAUAAAGACUGACUCUGCGGGUGCCA
rnacentral:lncRNA from 1 species